AUAUCCUACGGGAGCAGCAGUGAGGAAUAUUGGUCAAUGGGCGGGAGCCUGAACCAGCCAAGUCGCGUGAGGGAAGACGGUCCUAUGGAUUGUAAACCUCUUUUGUCAGGGAGCAAUUGGGUCCACGUGUGGGCUUAGCGAGAGUACCUGAAGAAAAAGCAUCGGCUAACUCCGUGCCAGCAGCCGCGGUAAUACGGAGGAUGCGAGCGUUAUCCGGAUUUAUUGGGUUUAAAGGGUGCGUAGGCGGAAUAUCAAGUCAGCGGUAAAAAUUCGGGGCUCAACCCCGUCGUGCCGUUGAAACUGAU
rnacentral:rRNA from 1 species